UACGUAGGGGGCAAGCGUUAUCCGGAAUCAUUGGGCGUAAAGCGAGUGUAGGCGGCUUGAUAAGUCUGCUGUGAAAGUCCAGGGCUCAACCCUGGAAAGCCGGUGGAAACUGUCGGGCUAGAGUCCGGAAGAGGCGAGUGGAAUUCCUGGUGUAGCGGUGAAAUGCGCAGAUAUCGGGAGGAAAACCAAUGGCGAAGGCAGCUCGCUGGGACGGUACUGACGCUGAGACGCGAAAGCGUGGGGAGCGAACAGG
rnacentral:rRNA from 1 species